UGUAAUGUCGGUUUGAACCAGCUCUAUACUAUUUCUGAGGGACUUCAAAGCAAUAUAGUUAUUCUUAUGGAUUAGGAUGUGACGAUGAAGCGAUAUAUUAGGAUACACUCUGAGAAGACCAGAAAGAAGCCCUUUUGAAUCUCGUCCCCUUUCUUGUCGUUUAAUCUCAAAGGCCAAAGCUAGAGAUUAGUUUGAAGAAUUAUGUUAUUCCAAAGCUGCUUUAUUUUUUAAAUCAUGGGGAAACUUUCACAAAGGUCGGUGAUAAAGUUUUCUUCAAAAGCAUUCUAAACUCUACCGAGAUUGUAGCAAGAGGAAGGGUCCAGAGCUUGGACCCAAAUGAUCUAGUUGGUGGUACAGAGAUUGGACCAGAAUGGUGUGAGGUAAACGUUCAAGUACCAAUAAAAAAUAUGAAAACUUGGUAAGACCAUAUGGUUUAUUUUCUACAAUUCAAGAUUGUAUUGGUGCAUCCAUCGCAUGGCCAUAUCCAUUCAUCUCAUCUCGGUAGUCCAUGAGGAUUGAGGACGCAUGAUGACUCAAGAUUUUAUACUUCUUAUUUCUUUAAUUGCUUUUAAUUUCUUUGUUAAAUGUUAAGACUUUAUGUUAGAUAAUGUUAUAACUUAUUUAUGGUUAGUGUUUUUGUUAUGAACAUGCUUAUUUGAAAUAUAAUGAAGUUUUAUUUCUU
rnacentral:lncRNA from 1 species